GCUGCGGUGCCGGAGUGGUCAAUCGGAACAGUCUGUAAAACUGUCGCCCGGAAGGGCUACGUAGGUUCGAAUCCUACCCGCAGCA
rnacentral:tRNA from 1 species